rnacentral:lncRNA from 1 species
UCUCAAAAAAAAAAAAAAAAAGAAAAAAAAAAGAAAAAGCAAGCCACUUAUUAUGUGGUUUUCAGGAAUAUCAGUUGGUAAGAAAGUGGGAAUUGCCUAUUCUUGUAUGAACUAUUAGGUGCUAUGUGGACACAGUUUAAGGAAGGGAUGAGUGUGGAGUGGAAACGUCUACCACACUGAAGUAGGUGGCUGUGUUUCGAGCUUAAUCUUUGUGAUAUAGUAUCACUGCUAGCAUAUCUUUUUUGUUUCUGAGUAGGUAUGUUUGACUCCAAAAACUUGGUAAGGACCAGACAAGGGAGGUCAAUUAGAGUUAAAUGUGUUUGCCAAAGCUGAUGGUAGCGACCGCUUGGGCUACUGGGUUGAAAAUAGUCCUGAGGCCAAAUCCACGUGUAGAGGGAGAGAGUACUAAGAUUGAUCAGCAAUGUCUCAGAGCACAUGGAGGAGAGAAUGGAAGCAAGAAUGCCAGGCAGUUAUGAUGAUCUUCUUAGAUCCUUUUUUUGGAAGACAAGAGCUCUUGGUUGGCCAGUUGGCCUUGUCCUAGUCAAAGGAAGUGCCAUUUAUUUUCUAAGCAACUAUGUGCACCACGAAAUUCAGUGUGUGGUGCAAAGCCAGGUGACCCUUGGCUAAAAGCCCCAGUUGAAAGGUUCCCAAAGAAGGUGAAGAAUUUAGUACAAUCACUCUCUAUGGCCACUUAUUCUAUUUUUAUUCAUUCAUCAUGCAGAAUUUUUCUGUUUGUGAGGUAUUUAAGAACAUGGCACAAGAAGCCAAGCUGUUUCAAAGAAUAAUGGUCAAUGUCCAUUAUCCAUGUCCAGGCUUGUGAUCACUGGCCCUUUAGAAAGCUGCGCAUGACACUCCUGUUCCACCCCCUCUUAUAUCCCAGCACUCAGCAGCAUGAGGCACGGUCAGCAGCAGCCCAUACCACACCUUUGUGGGAAUUUGAAAAACAGAUCUCCUCUAGGUUAUAGCCCCAUGGAACACAGCUUGGCAAGCAGACCUGGGUUGGUUUUCAUUUCCCACUCACCCCGUGACAUGGGUCCUUUUGCAUGCCACCACCAUCAAGACCACAUAUGGCCACCUUGCCUUCAUACUAAGAAAUCUAAUUUAAUUCAUGACCAAUAGCCAUCGCCCCCAAAUAAAUUACAAUAACUUUGUGAAAAGCCUGUAGGAAUAAACACAAUUAUAUGCAUUCAUUAUCAUCACCCAUUAAAAACCAUAAGUACCAAAGGUCACAAAUCCCUGACUUAGAUAUUUGGGAGUCCCAAGGCAUCACGAGACUGAGUGAUUGAAAAUUUCAUUGUGUGUCAUGAACAAAGCUGAACCCUGUACAGUCUAGUGGCCCAAAGUCCAUAUCAAACAGAAGCAAAUGUUUGCUAAGCUGAAUAGGCUAGUGAGUAAUUCAAAGACGGUUGGAAGGAAAUAUCAUAAACCUUUGUUCAUGCAGAAUGCAAAGGCCUGGCAAAAGGACGCUGAGUGAGCCAAGUUUGAAUAGGCUGUUACUUUAAUGAAGAAGUAAUAGGGAAUCUGGCCAUCUGGAGGGUGUGGCAGUUACUUUGAAAAGAAGCUCUAAUUUGCAUAAGCAAGUACUGAAUGAGGGAAUUUUGGAUUCAGAUGUCUGUGGAAUGGCUCUGCUGGUUUGGAGCCUUAGGCAGGUGGGACAUAGAUUUUGGGACCGGUCAUUUAUUUUAAUGUGCGUUAUAUGGACGUGUGUGGGUGUGUGUUUGCAUGUGGGUGUGUGUGUGUGUGUGUGUGCAUGUGCGUGCACAUGUGCAUGUGAUUUGGGUGAUAGAGGCAUUGAAUUAGCCCACAUUUAUCCCCACUCAUGGGCUAAUCCUUCUUCUCUUCUCUCUUCCUAAUUCCAGUUAAUGGUGGCUCUAUCAUUCCCUUUGUCCUCUAAGCCAGAGAUUCAGAAGUAAUGCUAGAUGCUUCCCUCUCCCUCACUUUAAUCUGUUACUCAUAACUUAAAUUUGCGGCCGGGCAUGGUGGCUCAUGCCUGUAAUUCCGGCACUUUGGGAGGCCGAGGUGGGUGGAUUACCUGAGGUCAGGAGUUCGAGACUAGCCAGGCCGACAUGGUGAAACCCCGUCUCUACUAAAAAUACAAAAAUUAGCUGGUGGUGGGUGCCUGUAAUCCCAGCUACUCAGGAGGCUGAGGCAGGAGAAUCUCUUGAACCCGGGAGGUGGAGGUUGCAGUGAGCC